GUCAUUUGGCUGCUCCAAGGGAACAGUUUUUAGUGUGUGUUUCCCUUUCCUGCUCCUUUUACGAGGUGGCUGUGUAGAAGAUCUGCUUUUUCAGGGAGCCUCCUCUUCAUCCAGGGAUUCAGAAGAGCUGUCUCCAGUAUCAUCUGCUUGUGUGGGCUGAUAAUCAGGAUCGUCUACUUGGUCAUCAUCACUUAGAUCACAAUCAGAUUCUUAAGGAUUUUCUGGUACAAGGGCGAGAAGAGUGCGUGGCUUUGCACCAUAGAAGGAUUUAGUGUCCCUCUAGUGGGAGAUGCUCUCUCCUGCUUCAGUC